rnacentral:lncRNA from 10 species
AUUGUGAUUCUACCACUUCAUCUUGACUGCCUCGCCAAGCCUCAAAUUUCCUUGUUUGUCAAAUGGAAACAAGCCUCAGGGUGGUAAUAUUAAAUGAGAUAAUGUUUGUGAAAAUUGGCCCUUAGUUUCUUGCUCUCAGUGAAUGCAACAGAUAUGUUUCUGAUGCUUCUCUGUCAUCAAGGAUCCCCCAGAAGAGGCAGAACUGCUGCUACAGAACCUGCAAAGUAGAGGUCCCAGAGACUGCGUGGUGCUCAUGGCUGCAGCUGGGCACUUUGCUGGUGCUAUAUUUCAAGGGUGAGAGGGUGCUGCAUGGGGGUAAGGAUGGAGUGGAUCCUGUUAGCCAGGGAGCACCAGCUGGUCUCCAGUACUGAGUCUGUGCUGUCUACAGAAGAGAAGUGGUGACACACAAAACUUUUCACCGCUAUACGGUUCGGGCCAAGCGGGGCACAGCCCAGGGGCUUCGGGAUGCCCGAGGUGGGCCAUCACACUCUGCUGGAGCCAACCUGAGGCGCUACAAUGAAGCCACACUAUAUAAGGAUGUUCGUGACCUGCUGGCAGGGCCAAGCUGGGCUAAGGCGCUGGAGGAGG